GUGUUCACUUUGGCAGCACACACACUAACACUGGAAAGACACCGAGGCGAUUAGCAGAGCCCCUGUGCAAGGAUGACACACAAAGUCCUGAAGCGCUCCAUGUUUUU